rnacentral:rRNA from 1 species
UACGAGGGGGGCAAGCGUUGUCCGGAAUCACUGGGCGUAAAGGGCGCGUAGGUGGCGCGACAAGUCAACGGUGAAAGCUCGGCGCUCAACGCCGAGUCGGCCGUCGAUACUGUUGGGCUGGAGCACUGUAGAGGCAGAUGGAAUUCCGGGUGUAGCGGUGGAAUGCGUAGAGAUCCGGAAAGAACACCGGUGGCGAAGGCGGUCUGCUGGGCCAAGACUGACGCUGAGGCGCGACAGCGGUGGGGAGCAAACAGG